GCAGUCGACGGAGUUAUUUUCUUCACUCCGAGCUUUUUGCCAGUUAGCCAGAGCGGCAAUCGGUUUUGCCCAGCAUAUAAAGCGAAACCGAUUUAGGCUCAUAAAGUAAGACUAACACAGAGGGCAGAGAGUUGGGAGUGAAGAAAAUAACUUCGUGGCGAACGGGUGAGUAACGCGUGAGUAACCUGCCCUGGAGUGGGGGACAACAGUUGGAAACGACUGCUAAUACCGCAUAAGCCCACGGAUUCGCAUGGAUCUGCGGGAAAAGGAUUUAUUCGCUUCAGGAUGGACUCGCGUCCAAUUAGCUAGUUGGUGAGGUAACGGCCCACCAAGGCGACGAUUGGUAGCCGGACUGAGAGGUUGAACGGCCACAUUGGGACUGAGACACGGCCCAGACUCCUACGGGAGGCAGCAGUGGGGGAUAUUGCACAAUGGGGGAAACCCUGAUGCAGCGACGCCGCGUGGAGGAAGAAGGUUUUCGGAUUGUAAACUCCUGUCGUUAGGGACGAUAAUGACGGUACCUAACAAGAAAGCACCGGCUAACUACGUGCCAGCAGCCGCGGUAAAACGUAGGGUGCAAGCGUUGUCCGGAAUUACUGGGUGUAAAGGGAGCGCAGGCGGACCGGCAAGUUGGAAGUGAAAACUAUGGGC
rnacentral:rRNA from 1 species